CACUGCUUUUCAAAACCACCCGUCUGAGUCCUGACAAAUAAGAUGGUUUCUCAAGUUUUGACACCGCGUAAUUAGUUGUUUAUUACUCACCUCACCUCUUUUUCUACACUUUUCCAGCUACUAUAAAUAUUUUUUUCAGCUAUCUGGGUUAAUUGCGUUAUUACUUAAUCUCUUCAACAAAUGCUCGUUCUUGCAAGGGCUAGACGUCAUACUGUCAUAGUCCCCACAUAAAAUAUAGGUAGGGGCUUAUUGCAGAGAUAUCCUUCUUUCAUCCAUUGCUCUGGGAACUGGGUUUAUCCUGAAACUCGUUUGAUCAUGGCGGGAGGAGAAGGAGGAGCGUCUCAAUCAAGGGAGCUUGAUCAAACUCCCACAUGGGCGGUAGCUGCUGUUUGCGCGGUUAUUAUUAUAAUUUCUAUAGUGUUGGAGAAGGUUCUUCACAGGCUCGGCGAGUGGUUCACAGAAAGACGUAAGAAUGCACUGUUUGAAGCUCUUGAGAAGGUCAAAGCUGAGCUUAUGGUUCUAGGUUUCAUUUCCUUGCUCCUGACAUUCUGUCAGAGCUACAUUGUUAAAAUAUGUAUUCCAGAGAAGAUUACGCGCAAAAUGUUACCUUGCCCAUAUAGACCAUCAAAUACUGAAGAAGAAGAUCACCGGAGGCUUCUAUGGAAUGAGCGCAGAUUCUUAUCCACUGCUAGUAAAGCUUCUAAAUGCAAGGAGGGUUAUGAGCCACUUAUUUCUCUAAAUGGACUACAUCAAUUGCACAUCUUUAUAUUCUUUUUAGCCGUCUUUCAUGUGCUCUAUAGUGCUACAACAAUGAUGCUUGGGAGACUAAAGAUACGUGGAUGGAAGGCGUGGGAGAGGGAGACACAAUCUCUUAACUAUGAAUUUCAUUAUGAUCCCUCAAGAUUCAGGCUUACUCAUGAGACGUCUUUUGUCAGAGCACACACCAACUUCUGGACUAGGAUUCCUUUUUUCUUUGUUUUUGUAUGCUUUUUUCGGCAUUUUUUCAGAUCUGUUCGUAAGGCAGAUUAUUUGACAUUACGUCAUGGAUUCAUAUCAGUUCAUUUAGCUCCUGGAAGUAAGUUUGACUUCCAAAAAUAUAUAAAAAGGUCAUUAGAAGAUGAUUUCAAGGUAGUCGUGGGAAUCAGUCCACUUCUAUGGGCUUCACUUGUGGUCUUUUUGCUUCUGAAUGUUAGUGGAUGGAGGACAUUAUUUUGGGUGUCCAUAAUUCCUCUAAUUAUAAUCUUGGCAGUUGGAACAAAACUUCAAGCAAUUAUAACAACUAUGGCUCUUGAAAUCCAAGAAAGACAUGCAGUGGUUCAAGGGAUUCCUCUUGUGAAAGUCAGCGACAAACACUUCUGGUUUAAUCGGCCUCAAUUAGUUCUGUAUCUAAUCCAUUUUGUUAUGUUUCAGAAUGCAUUCCAAAUAACAUAUUUCCUUUGGAUAUGGUAUGAAUUUGGCUUGAAAUCUUGCUUUCAUGAGAACUUCACGCUUAUAAUCAUACGAGUUUCAAUGGGGGUUGGAGUCCAAUUCUUGUGUAGCUACAUUACACUUCCCCUCUAUGCACUAGUAACUCAGAUGGGAUCAACCAUGAAGAAGUCUGUCUUUGAUGAGCAGACAUCGAAGGCCAUUAAGAAGUGGCGUAUGGCUGCCAUGAAAAAGAAGCACGAGAAAAGGACGGGGCAUUCCCCUACAAGAAGUGUGGGAAGUGGCCCGAGUGCCUCACCUGUGCAAUCCCCACCCCACCCACUUCAACGUUUCAAGACUACUGGGCACUCAACACGCUCAUCUACAUAUAGUAUGAGAAAUUCUGAAGAUGACAUGUCAGACAAUGAAGCAGAUGCACCGUCACCCACAUCAGUCACAGAAAACCCACCCCUGAUGGCGAAUGUUGGUAGACAAUCUAGAACAAGGGAAUACCCCCGCCAUGAAUAUGAUGAUGGUCAAAAACAUGAUGAAGAUGACUUCUCAUUUGCUAAGCCAGACCUAUUAACUGGACCUUGACAGUGAUGGUAGCAAAAUGGCGUUGAGAUGUUGAUGAAACUUUGGUGGUGGUCAGUGUUCACGGUGGCCAGCAGUGGUGAUUCUCCUAUUAUCAGCAAUUUUCAUUCAAAUGUAACACUAACAAUUUCACAUGUAACCGAUGAGCAGAAGCGCAACUAAGUGAACGAUUAUGCAUGCCCAUGAAUAUACUUUGUUGGGGAAAGAAUGCUGGAUCCUGAUGAGCCACUCCUACAUCCGCAGUCUGGUGCGCUGGUAGGGUAAUCCCACCCUAAAAGAGCUUAUGAGAAGAAUUCUCUCUUGAUGAUUUCAUUCAAUGUUCUGUACGAUAUUUAUACAUGUUGUAUGUGUACAGAUAAGAACAGAGUAAGAGAUAAAUACAGGGGUAAGGAUAAAUACAAGAUAAGAGAUAAAUACAAGAGAAGAGAUGAGUGUAAUUGGUUGCAACAGUGUAGGAGUUUGUUCUUAUCUCAAAUACUGGGUAACUGAUUACACUAGCACACCCAUUUGAGAGACAUAUUUUCAAAUGUAAUGCAAAUUCAAAAUGGACAAUCAACUUGUUUGGACCUUCCUGACAAUGUCA